rnacentral:rRNA from 1 species
GGGGAAUUUUGGACAAUGGGCGCAAGCCUGAUCCAGCAAUGCCGCGUGCAGGAUGAAGGCCUUCGGGUUGUAAACUGCUUUUGUACGGAACGAAAAGCCUCUCUCUAAUACCCUGUUCGGAUGACGGUACCGUCAUAAGAAGCACCGGCUAACUACGUGCCAGCAGCCGCGGUAAUACGUAGGGUGCGAGCGUUAAUCGGAAUUACUGGGCGUAAAGCGUGCGCAGGCGGUUGAUUAAGACAGGCGUGAAAUCCCCGGGCUUAACCUGGGAACUGCGCUUGUGACUGGUCGGCUAGAGUACGGCAGAGGGGGGUGGAAUUCCACGUGUAGCAGUGAAAUGCGUAGAGAUGUGGAGGAACACCGAUGGCGAAGGCAGCCCCCUGGGCCGAUACUGACGCUCAUGCACGAAAGCGUGGGUAGCAAACA